UGCGAGCCAGGCUGAGGAAGGGAUCUGCAUGCAGGGCCAGCUCUGCCUGACGACCCCUUUCCCACGUGGCCUCCACUGCAGGGCCCUCACCAGCCUUUGGGGUCACUGUCCCACACUGGGCCCUGUCCCAUGCUGGUUCUGUGGAGCCCUAGGUGCUGCUGUGUGGGUGGGUGGGAGGGGGAGCUCUGACUUCUCCCUAAGCACUCUGGGAAGAACACUGGCCUUUCCCAUGUGUAGCACUGUCCACUGCACUUGUCUGGUGGCCCCAAUGUGAGUCGCUGUAUAAAAAUGCUGCCUUUGUUAUUUUGUAAGAAAUGACUUUUCUGUGAACCAAGUACUCACGAAAUCUCAGUAACCAAAAUAAAGUUCUAUAUUUUAAAGGA
rnacentral:lncRNA from 1 species